rnacentral:rRNA from 1 species
CAGCAGCCGCGGGAAUACGAAGGGUGCAAGCGUUAAUCGGAAUUACUGGGCGUAAAGCGCGCGUAGGUGGUUCAUUAAGUUGGAUGUGAAAGCCCUGGGCUCAACCUGGGAACUGCAUCCAAAACUGGUGAGCUAGAGUACGGUAGAGGGUAGUGGAAUUUCCUGUGUAGCGGUGAAAUGCGUAGAUAUAGGAAGGAACACCAGUGGCGAAGGCGACUACCUGGACUGAUACUGACACUGAGGUGCGAAAGCGUGGGGAGCAAACAGGAUUAGAUACCCCAGUAGUCCCUGUCUCUUAUAA